rnacentral:rRNA from 1 species
AGUGAACGCUGGCGGUAGGCCUAACACAUGCAAGUCGAGCGGCAGCACAGUAAGAGCUUGCUCUUACGGGUGGCGAGUGGCGGACGGGUGAGGAAUACAUCGGAAUCUACUUUUUCGUGGGGGAUAACGUAGGGAAACUUACGCUAAUACCGCAUACGACCUACGGGUGAAAGCAGGGGAUCUUCGGACCUUGCGCGAUUGAAUGAGCCGAUGUCGGAUUAGCUAGUUGGCGGGGUAAAGGCCCACCAAGGCGACGAUCCGUAGCUGGUCUGAGAGGAUGAUCAGCCACACUGGAACUGAGACACGGUCCAGACUCCUACGGGAGGCCGCAGUGGGGAAUAUUGGACAAUGGGCGCAAGCCUGAUCCAGCCAUACCGCGUGGGUGAAGAAGGCCUUCGGGUUGUAAAGCCCUUUUGUUGGGAAAGAAAAGCAGCAGGUUAAUACCCCGCUGUUCUGACGGUACCCAAAGAAUAAGCACCGGCUAACUUCGUG